GACGAACCGUGCGAACGUUGUUCGGAUUCACUGGGCUUAAAGGGCGCGUAGGCGGGCUGUCAAGUCAGGGGUGAAAGCUUUCGGCUCAACCGGAAAAGUGCCCCUGAUACUGAUGGUCUAGAGUGAGGUAGGGGCAUGUGGAACUUCCGGUGGAGCGGUGAAAUGCGUAGAGAUCGGAAGGAACGCCGGUGGCGAAAGCGACGUGCUGGACCUCGACUGACGAUGAGGCGCGAAAGAUAGGGGAGCAAACGGG
rnacentral:rRNA from 1 species